UACGAAGGGGGCGAGCGUUGUUCGGAAUUACUGGGCGUAAAGGGCGCGUAGGCGGCGACCCAAGUCAGAUGUGAAAGUCCUGGGCUUAACCUGGGGACUGCAUUUGAUACUGGGUUGCUUGAAUUCGGGAGAGGAUAGCGGAAUUCCCAGUGUAGAGGUGAAAUUCGUAGAUAUUGGGAAGAACACCGGUGGCGAAGGCGGCUAUCUGGACCGACAUUGACGCUGAGACGCGAAAGCGUGGGGAGCGAACAGG
rnacentral:rRNA from 1 species